UCUGCUCCUGUGUGGCCGGAGUKGCGAGGCAAUGUCCAGCACAACUGCAGCCUGAAAGCUGCUCGAGGCAUGCCCAGRAGCACGGAGGGCCAAGAGCUGCAGCAAAGCAUGCACAAAGUCCUCUUGGCUGUGGCCACGCCCAGAUGGCUUCUUCUGAAAUCCAAGCCCUCCUUUGGCUGCACUUUGACCCCGGAUCUGGUCACCCCAGCAGUCCUUGGGCCUCAUAGACACAUUAGCAUUGGGGAAGUUUUCCCCUUCUUAAAGCUUGACCCCGGAUCUGGAAGGACUGGGACGGAGGCCCCAGCAGCCCUACUAAGUGCCUUAGCAGGUGUCCCAGGGCCUCCCAGGGCCGCAGCCUCUGUGCACACCCCUCCACCCCACACUCUUUCCUGGAUCAUGUGACAAGAGCCCCUAUUGUCCUCGAUGCCACCAGGAACAUUUAUUGCGUCCUUCCGACAGCUGUCAUCAUUGAGUGCAAAAACGUACGUCAGCACUGUCCCAAGCUCUUUGCGUUCUCUUCCCUAGACCCCAGGGUCGCCCCAGGAGGGAAGCCCCCGUUGGGCAGAUGAGAAAACUGAGCCUAGUUUGUCCCAAGACCUGACAGCUGGCUGGUGACAGGAACCCGGCUGGAGACCCGGAGUCCCACCCAGGAAGCUGGCGCUGGUCAGACCCCCCUCCCGUGCCCACCUCUUCAUUUAGUGGACACUGUCCCCCGGUCUCCACCAGGUCUGCGGGGGCGUGGCAAGGAAGAGGAGAGGAGGUCUUUGCUGGGAUGGGGGAACCAUUCCCGGGUCCCUGGGAGGGUCCCAGACCCCCAGAGUCCCCCCUGCCAGGGCCACCAACCUGAUCCCAGGCCAGCGGGUGAGCUCUGGGGCUCUGGGGCUCCUGACUUUUAAAGACGGGCUGUUGGGCAAGGUGAGCUGUGACUUGCAGUGGGUUCGGCCCGACAGAGGCUCCUAACAGGUGUGUCCGUGAGCUAAGCUCAGGGAUUCUCUGUGAACAAACAAGUCCGCCCUCGGGCGGCCCACGUUCUAGCAAGAGGAAGUCUCCAUGAACCAGGAACUGUGGACAGAGUGCCAGGCCCCCCAAGAGCUGACCAGCAACCAGGAGACGCAGGGAGAAGGAGGGGCACGCGGAGAGGCUGGGUGUUCACCCGUAGCCCGAGGUGAGCUUCCGAGACAGAUGCCGUCUGAAAGUCAGGCGGCCCSGAGGCUGGAUUCUGGGACACAGAGUCCAGUCAGUGACGCACAGCCGUGGAAUGAAGAGGUGCAAAGGACCCGGGGCCCAUACCUAUGUGGACAAAACCUGUUGUCCACUCCCAGAAGCCUCCAUCCUACCUGCCUAUCUGUGGGCCAUGGGUCUGGAUGAACUUGGACGCGGGAUGUCCAUCCGGCUUAGAUUUAGAAGGCAAUCCUUCCCAUGCUUUCAGUGCUUAGGCAUAAACGCAUGAAUCCCCGGAGUGCAAUAGGGAGGGGUGGGGAGUAUGGAUCACCAGGCUGCGGCCUCUCUGGGGUCMUGACAGGA